rnacentral:rRNA from 1 species
AUGCAAGCCGAGCGGUAGAGAGUAGCUUGCUACUCUUGAGAGCGGCGCACGGGUGCGUAACACGUGUGCAACCUACCUUUAUCUGGGGGAUAGCCUUUCGAAAGGAAGAUUAAUACCCCAUAAUAUAUUGACUGGCAUCAGUUGAUAUUGAAAACUCCGGUGGAUAGAGAUGGGCACGCGCAAGAUUAGAUAGUUGGUGAGGUAACGGCUCACCAAGUCAAUGAUCUUUAGGGGUCCUGAGAGGGAGAUCCCCCACACUGGUACUGAGACACGGACCAGACUCCUACGGGAGGCAGCAGUGAGGAAUAUUGGACAAUGGGUGAGAGCCUGAUCCAGCCAUCCCGCGUGAAGGAUGACGGCCCUAUGGGUUGUAAACUUCUUUUGUACAGGGAUAAACCUACCCUCGUGAGGGUAGCUGAAGGUACUGUACGAAUAAGCACCGGCUAACUCCGUGCCAGCAGCCGCGGUAAUACGGAGGGUGCAAGCGUUAUCCGGAUUUAUUGGGUUUAAAGGGUCCGUAGGCGGAUCUGUAAGUCAGUGGUGAAAUCUCGCAGCUUAACUGCGAAACUGCCAUUGAUACUGCAGGUCUUGAGUAAAUUUGAAGUGGCUGGAAUAAGUAGUGUAGCGGUGAAAUGCAUAGAUAUUACUUAGAACACCAAUUGCGAAGGCAGGUCACUAAGAUUUAACUGACGCUGAGGGA